rnacentral:rRNA from 1 species
AUUGAACGCUGGCGGCAUGCCUUACACAUGCAAGUCGAACGGCAGCACGGACUUCGGUCUGGUGGCGAGUGGCGAACGGGUGAGUAAUGUAUCGGAACGUACCUUUCAGUGGGGGAUAACGUAGCGAAAGUUACGCUAAUACCGCAUAUUCUGUGAGCAGGAAAGCAGGGGAUCGAAAGACCUUGCGCUGAUUGAGCGGCCGAUAUCAGAUUAGCUAGUUGGUGGGGUAAAGGCCUACCAAGGCGACGAUCUGUAGCGGGUCUGAGAGGAUGAUCCGCCACCCUGGAACUGAGACACGGUCCAGACUCCUACGGGAGGCAGCAGUGGGGAAUUUUGGACAAUGGGGGCAACCCUGAUCCAGCCAUGCCGCGUGAGUGAAGAAGGCCUUCGGGUUGUAAAGCUCUUUCGGCCGGGAAGAAAUCGCAUAGGCUAAUACCCUGUGUGGAUGACGGUACCGGAAUAAGAAGCACCGGCUAACUACGUG